GAGUUCUUAACUCAGUUGGUAGAGUAUUUGGCUUACAUCCAAGCGGUCGGCGGUUCAAGUCCGUCAGAACUC
rnacentral:tRNA from 1 species